AUACUUACCUGGCAGGGCGAAGCUCUGCCAUUGCACUUUGAUGGUGAUGAAUUCCAUUGUAAAUUCCCCAAAUGCGGGAAUCUCAACUGCAUAAUUUCUGGUAGUGGGGGACUGCGUUCGCACUCUCCCCUG
ensembl:snRNA U1 U1 spliceosomal RNA